UCUGCAACACUGUCUUUUUUUUUAUUACUGAUUUAUUACUGACUAUCUAUUUCUUUCUUUGUUGUUAUUCACCAAGAGAGAACUCCCAUUAAUGGGAAUCAAAAGGAAACCCUGAAAUAAUUUUUUAAGGAUGGAAUGACACGAGUUGGUUCAGAAUUAUUACCAAGAGCUGCAUCAACUACUGGUUUGGACACCAGUGUCGUAGAAAUAAGAACUGGAUUGGUAAUUACAAAAGAUCACAAAUGACUAAUGCUUCGUCUGAGCCCCGGUCAUCAAAGGCCAAAGUUCACAUUAGAGAGCUGUCGCAUUACAAUCUUUUUUAUAGGGACAUAUUCAAAAACAAAGGCACAAUGAAUGAUAUUAAGGGCAGGUGCGCCACAUUGGGGGAAGAUGAAAAGCAGAAAUACAUUCAAGAGGCAGCAGCACUGGACACUAAACCCUGAGAUGGAGGCAAUUUGUGCUGUGUCUGCCGCAUCCAUUUUGAUGAUAAGAAGAAGAAUGCAAGAAAGAAGUGGCAUUCAUGGUCUCAGUGCACAGUGUGCCAAUCAUGGUCACACACAGCAUGUGGCUUUAAAAAGAACAUGUGCGUUCACUGCAAAUGUGAAGACACCAUGCAAACACCCUGAAGAUGUAUCUUGUUACUUGUUUGAGUUGUUUUUACUGUGUUGACGGCCCCCAACCCAUCCAUACAAACACACACACACACACACAAUACAUACAUAUGCUGCAAAUUUAUUGUAUUGACCACACUUCACACGUAAGAAGAAAAUUGUGAUCUUUUUGUUAUUUUCAUUCACCCCAUUUUUAUUUAUUAUUGUUGUUUGUUGGCACCAUCAAUGUGUUCUCCUUUAUACAGGACUUAUGUGGGGACCAAUAAAGUUAUAUUGUACUGAA